rnacentral:rRNA from 1 species
UACGUAGGUGGCAAGCGUUAUCCGGAAUUAUUGGGCGUAAAGCGCGCGCAGGCGGUUUCUUAAGUCUGAUGUGAAAGCCCACGGCUCAACCGUGGAGGGUCAUUGGAAACUGGGAAACUUGAGUGCAGAAGAGGAAAGUGGAAUUCCACGUGUAGCGGUGAAAUGCGUAGAGAUGUGGAGGAACACCAGUGGCGAAGGCGACUUUCUGGUCUGUAACUGACGCUGAGGCGCGAAAGCGUGGGGAGCAAACAGG